rnacentral:rRNA from 1 species
UACGGGGGGGGCAAGCGUUUGUUCGGAAUUACUGGGCGUAAAGGGCUCGUAGGCGGCCAACUAAGUCGGACGUGAAAUCCCUCGGCUUAACCGGGGAACUGCGUCCGAUACUGGAUGGCUUGAGUGUGGGAGAGGGAUGCGGAAUUCCAGGUGUAGCGGUGAAAUGCGUAGAUAUCUGGAGGAACACCGGGUGGCGAAGGCGGCAUCCUGGACCACGACUGACGCUGAGGAGCGAAAGCCAGGGGGAGCAAAGCGGGG